rnacentral:lncRNA from 1 species
CGGGGUUUCACCAUAUUGGCCAGCUGGUUUUGAACUCCUGAUCUCAAGUGAUCUGCCCGCCUCGGCCUCCCAAAGUGUUGGGAUUACAGGCCUGAGCCACCAUGCCCAGCCUAAUUGGCACAUCUCUUUUGCCUUGAAUACUCUCCCUCCAGAUACGUCGUGGCAAACUUCAUCUCUUGUAAGUCUGCUAAAAUGUCACUUUCUCAAUGGGGCCUACUUUGACUGCUCCCAUCUACCUAUUUAAUACUGCAACCUGCCUUUCCCAUUACUGCUUAGACCUUUAGACCCCCUUACCUUGC